rnacentral:rRNA from 1 species
AUUGAACGCUGGCGGCAGGCCUAACACAUGCAAGUCGAACGGUAGCACAGAGAGCUUGCUCUCGGGUGACGAGUGGCGGACGGGUGAGUAACGUCUGGGAAACUGCCCGAUGGAGGGGGAUAACUACUGGAAACGGUAGCUAAUACCGCAUAACGUCGCAAGACCAAAGUGGGGGACCUUCGGGCCUCACACCAUCGGAUGUGCCCAGAUGGGAUUAGCUAGUAGGUGGGGUAAUGGCUCACCUAGGCGACGAUCCCUAGCUGGUCUGAGAGGAUGAACAGCCACAAUGGAACUGAGACACGGUCCAGACUCCUACGGGAGGCAGAGGUGGGGAAACUUGCAAAAUGGCCGCAAGCCGGAUGCAGCCAUGCCGCGUGUAUGAAGAAGGCCUUCGGGUUGUAAAGUACUUUCAGCGGGGAGGAAGGCGGUGAAGUUAAUAACUUCACCGAUUGACGUUACCCGCAGAAGAAGCACCGGCUAACUCCGUGCCAGCAGCCGCCGUAA